CCAGGGGUGUCCCAGGGUGUCCCAGUGUGUCCCAGUCCAUCCCAGGGUGUCCCAGUGUGUCCCAGUCUAUCCCAGUCCAUCCCAGUGUGUCCCCAGGGGUGUCCCAGUGUGUCCCAGUCUAUCCCAGUCCAUCCCAGUCUAUCCCAGGGGUG